rnacentral:misc_RNA from 1 species
GCGGAAGGAUCAUUACCGAGUGAGGGCCCUCUGGGUCCAACCUCCCACCCGUGUUUAUUUUACCUUGUUGCUUCGGCGGGCCCGCCUUAACUGGCCGCCGGGGGGCUCACGCCCCCGGGCCCGCGCCCGCCGAAGACACCCUCGAACUCUGUCUGAAGAUUGAAGUCUGAGUGAAAAUAUAAAUUAUUUAAAACUUUCAACAACGGAUCUCUUGGUUCCGGCA